UCGCCGUUAGGUUAAUAUAAACCUCUAACUUGUGGUGUUAGAAAUAUGAGAUGCAUACAGCGAA
rnacentral:tRNA from 1 species